rnacentral:rRNA from 1 species
UACGUAGGGUGCAAGCGUUGUCCGGAAUUAUUGGGCGUAAAGAGCUCGUAGGCGGUCUGUCGCGUCUGCUGUGAAAACUCGGGGCUUAACCCCGGGCCUGCAGUGGGUACGGGCAGACUAGAGUGCGGUAGGGGAGACUGGAAUUCCUGGUGUAGCGGUGAAAUGCGCAGAUAUCAGGAGGAACACCGGUGGCGAAGGCGGGUCUCUGGCACAACACUGACGCUCAGGUGCGAAAGCGUGGGGAGCAAACAGG